AAUGAAGGCAAACCGCUACUGUAGGAGGGUGUUCAGUGACCAUUAAUCAGAAGGUGAUUUGUAAUCAAAGGAUUUACAAUUCAAUGACAGUUGCACAAGCACC